AAGAGUUAGGGUCUUCCAGGCCCAACCUCCCAACCCUUUGUCUAUUAUACCCUUCGUUGCUUCGGCGGACCCGUCUCACGACCGCCGGAGGACUGUGAAACGUCCUCUGGCCCGCGCCCGCCGGUGGCCAACUUUGCAAACUCUGAAUUAAACGUGUCUAUGUCUAAGUCAAAUUUUUAAUAAAAACA
rnacentral:misc_RNA from 1 species